GACGAACGCUGGCGGCGUGCUUAACACAUGCAAGUUGAACGGAAAGGCCCUGCUUUUGUGGGGUGCUCGAGUGGCGAACGGGUGAGUAACACGUGAGUAACCUGCCCUUGACUUUGGGAUAACUUCAGGAAACUGGGGCUAAUACCGGAUAGGAGCUCCUGCUGCAUGGUGGGGGUUGGAAAGUUUCGGCGGUUGGGGAUGGACUCGCGGCUUAUCAGCUUGUUGGUGGGGUAGUGGCUUACCAAGGCUUUGACGGGUAGCCGGCCUGAGAAGGUGACCGGCCACAUUGGGACUGAGAUACGGCCCAGACUCCUACGGGAGGCAGCAGUGGGGAAUAUUGCACAAUGGGCGGAAGCCUGAUGCAGCAACGCCGCGUGCGGGAUGACGGCCUUCGGGUUGUAAACCGCUUUCGCCUGUGACGAAGCGUGAGUGACGGUAAUGGGUAAAGAAGCACCGGCUAACUACGUG
rnacentral:rRNA from 1 species